GACGAACGCUGGCGGCGUGCUUAACACAUGCAAGUCGAACGGCAAGGCCCUGCUUUUGUGGGGUGCUCGAGUGGCGAACGGGUGAGUAACACGUGAGUAACCUGCCCUUGACUUUGGGAUAACUUCAGGAAACUGGGGCUAAUACCGGAUAGGAGCUCCUGCUGCAUGGUGGGGGUUGGAAAGUUUGGGCGGUUGGGGAUGGACUCGCGGCUGAUCAGCUUGUUGGUGGGGUAGUGGCUUACCAAGGCUUUGACGGGUAGCCGGCCUGAGAGGGGGACCGGCCACAGUGGGACAGAGAUACGGGCGAGACUCCUACGGGAGGCAGCAGUGGGGAAUUUUGCACGAUGGGGGGAAGCCGGAUGCAGCAACGCCGCGUGCGGGAUGACGGCCCUCGGGUUGUAAACCGCUUUGGGCUGUGACGAAGCGUGAGUGAGGGUAAUGGGUAAAGAAGCACCGGCUAACUACGUG
rnacentral:rRNA from 1 species